GACGAACGCUGGCGGCGUGCCUAACACAUGCAAGUCGAACGGGGGUAUUUAUUUCGAUGAAUACCUUAGUGGCGAACGGGUGAGUAACGCGUGAGCAACCUAUCCUUAAGAGGGGGAUAACAUCUGGAAACAGAUGCUAAUACCGCAUAAGACCACACUGCCGCAUGGCAGAGGGGUCAAAGGAGCAAUCCGUUUAAGGAGGGGCUCGCGUCCCAUUAGAUAGUUGGUGAGGUAACAGCUCACCAAGUCAGCGAUGGGUAGCCGAGCUGAGAGGCUGAUCGGCCACACUGGAACUGAGACACGGUCCAGACUCCUACGGGAGGCAGCAGUGGGGAAUAUUGGGCAAUGGGGGGAACCCUGACCCAGCAACGCCGCGUGAGGGAAGAAGGCCUUCGGGUUGUAAACCUCUGUCAUUAGGGAAGAAGAAAGUGACGGUACCUAAUGAGGAAGCCCCGGCUAACUACGUG
rnacentral:rRNA from 1 species